GCGACCGGAAGUAGGACCCGUGACUUCCGGAUUCUCCUUCACCAAUCCGGGCUGCGGUUGGGUCGGGUUGGUAGUGUUUGCGCCUUUCUGCUUGCUAUGGCCGCGGCCGUCGCUAUGGAGACAGAUGAUGCUGGAAAUCGACUUCGGUUUCAGUUGGAGUUGGAAUUUGUGCAAUGUUUAGCCAACCCAAAUUACCUUAAUUUUCUCGCCCAAAGAGGUUACUUCAAAGACAAAGCUUUUGUUAAUUAUCUUAAGUACUUGCUUUACUGGAAAGAACCAGAAUAUGCCAAAUAUCUAAAGUAAGUUUAAUUUUUAAAAUCCCAAAGCUGUGUGUACUUUAUUAUAAAUACUAAGUGCUAUUAUUUAGCAGUUUUCUCGGUGUCAGAAUGGAAAACAGCAUUUGGGAUCUUUCUGCUUUUAGUUGAUGUAAGACGCUGUUAUCUCUAACUUGGGUUGAUUAUGACAGGAAUUUCAUUUAUUUCUGCUACCAUUCUUACCUCACUCCCUUCAAACAAAACCAAAGAACUGUCUACGUGGGAGCCAGCUUACUCUCUUGGCAGUGUAAGUCAGAGCAUACUGUUCGUGCAGGCUAAGAUCCAGUGAACUGUUGUAGACUACAGUUCUAAUGUAAUUUGGUCGUGUCUAACCAUGUCACUUAGCACUGCCCCUGUCUUUCUGGGGUUUUGAGGCCUAACAACCCAUAACCUGUGACGGUAGGAAGAACUGUUUCCUGAGAGUCUUAGAGGUCCUGCCUUUCUUUGUGGUGUCCUUUGUUUCAAUCACUGUGCGUAUUAACUCACUGUAAAAGAACAGACACAACAAUAUCACAUCAAACUCUGCUUUGACUUAAAAAGAGAAAAGAAAGCC
rnacentral:lncRNA from 1 species